AUGCUCAUUUCAGCAGUACAUAUACUAAAACCGGCCCUUUACAGAGAAGAUGAGCGUGGCCCCUACACAAGAAUGGCGUGCAAAUUUGUGAGCUGUUCCAUAUAUUU
ensembl:snRNA U6 U6 spliceosomal RNA